CGUACGCAAUUUUGACAUUGGUCUAUGGAGAAGUGCGUGUUGAAGAUAACCUUAUAGUGUCUAUAGUACCGGCUUCGUACAAACUUUGUAAGAAGCGAUAGAAUCUCCUCAUCAUCUUGUCUUGUCUGCAGCGGAAGAACAACCAUGAGAUUUAAACUUCCACCUAAAUUCAAAGUUUAUGACUAUUUGAUGUUAACUGGAAACUUGACCAUGUUUGGAAUAACAGUGAUGCUGGCAGGAUUUAGUUUUUAUAGAAUGGUUCAUUUUAAAACAACAAGAGUUCCAGAAAUAGAGGAAGAAGUUCGACUUUUCAAGGAAGCUCAAUUAAUGAAAGAGCAAGUGGAAAGAGAAUCUAUGCUUAUGCGGAACAAACAGACAGAGACAGACAAAAAUUGAUAGUGUGCUUCUCCUAUAGAAAAACUUUUUGUAGAUUUUGAUAUUUUCUAACAUAAAUCACUUGUGAUUAGUCCUUUGUGUUAAAAUAUUUCAAAAUUUUAUAUCGACUGAGAAUAAUGUGAGUGAAUGCAGAAUGUAGAUAUAUGUUUGGUUUAUUGAAUUGUAAAUGUUUAUCCUAUUUGCAGAAUACAAUAAUCUCAGCUGCCCAAGUUACCUCACCUCACAUAAGUUAAAAAAUAUAACUUGUAAUAAAUCAGAUGUUGAUAAAGUCCAAAAUUUGAUGACCAUAGGUCAGUUUUUUUAUCUAUUUUAGAAAUUCUUUUGAUAGACUGGGUUCAUGAAUGCCUCUUGUUUGUAAUUUGAAGUGAGGAAUCUAAUGCCUUCAGCACUUACUGUUGAAGAGACGUUUUUAAUAUAAAGGGAGGUAACUUAUGGCUGUAGUAUUUACUGUUAGAGAUUGUUGUUCUCUGCAAAUUGGAAAAUUCUGGUCUAAACUGAAUAGUUUUAGUGCCAGAUUUUGAUUAAGAUGUUUUAAAUUAUUCCAUUCUUUUUCAGUGGGCAUAUUAUUGUAUACUAUCUCCGUCUGUCCAUCUGUCCGUCAAUUGUGAGGCAUUUCUAUUCACUGGUCUACAGUUUAGUCAGAUAAUAUGUAACUGCCCUAAUUUUUGGCAUUUAUGUUAUUUAUGGGACUUACAAUGACAAUAUGGAUUCAAUUUGUAAAAAUAAUCUCUUUACUUAAUUUAAUUACUUAAGCAUAAGUGCAAGCAUUUUUUAGCACAUACACAUGACAGUGGCUAUCAGGAACUUUAUAUGUGAAACAGAACAAUUAUUGAAUAGGGUCAGACAGGCAUUUUAUGUUCUGAAAACUGAAGGCGUAAGCCCAGUUUACACUGGUUUAUAGAUAUAAAUUACAAUUCAGUUUGAACAGGUCAGUUUUUCUAGUGUGAAUGAGUUUUCAAUGAAAUUACUUUGUUGUGAUUUCCAUUCAGGAUUUUAAACCUCACAAAAUUGUGAAGGAGGUGAUCACAUGUAUGCGUUUUUGUGUGUUUAUGUUGAUUUGUGUGGUAUUAUCAUGGAGAAUAAGUCUUGCAUGUGAAUCUACUUAUAUGAGCACUUGUAUUUUCAUUCAAUGACAACCAUUUCCUAAUUAUGCAUAACAUAAUUUAGUGAUACAGCUAUAUAUUUAUAUACUAUGUAUAAAUAGCUGCAGGUAUACAGUGGUUUUGUGUUGAGCUGUUGUCGUAAUAAGGGCCCUGUAAUCCGCUUGUCCCUCUAUGACAUUUCAGUAAUGUAGUUUUACUUAAACAUGUGAAAAUACGUUAAUCAAGAUUCGUGCUAGAAUAGGUAGAUUAACAGAGUAAUAGGUUUAUAUUAUUGGUAGACAAGGCGAGGAUGUGUCCCUGUUUCUGUCAACGUACUAUCAUGUUCAUCUUUUCAGUCACAUAAUCUGUAUCAAACAGAUAUAAUUGUAAAUCAUCAAAGUAAUUAUUAAAUAUGAUAUUUGAUAAAA